rnacentral:rRNA from 1 species
AAUGGGCGAAAGCCUGAUCCAGCAAUGCCGCGUGCAGGACGAAGGCCUUCGGGUUGUAAACUGCUUUUGUACGGAACGAAAAGACACUGGCUAAUACCUGGUGUUGAUGACGGUACCGUAAGAAUAAGCACCGGCUAACUACGUGCCAGCAGCCGCGGUAAUACGUAGGGUGCGAGCGUUAAUCGGAAUUACUGGGCGUAAAGCGUGCGCAGGCGGUUUUGUAAGACAGAGGUGAAAUCCCCGGGCUCAACCUGGGAACUGCCUUUGUGACUGCAAGGCUAGAGUGCGGCAGAGGGGGAUGGAAUUCCGCGUGUAGCAGUGAAAUGCGUAGAUAUGCGGAGGAACACCGAUGGCGAAGGCAAUCCCCUGGGCCUGCACUGACGCUCAUGCACGAAAGCGUGGGGAGCAAA